GCCAUUGCAACUUCUGCGGCCGUUGCAAUUGGUCCUAAAAUAUGACAGCAGCUCGCUUUUUACAACAGGGUGGACCCGGGGGAGCUCAGUUUUGCAUCAGGUGCAAUGACCUGUCUUCGGUAAACAGCAUGAAAGGACUGGGCCCACACGUCUUUCUCAAACCCUCAGAUUCAGGCUUUUAGGAAUCCGGUCCAGCGGUUCCCUUUUGAAUCUCUCCCAGUGAAUGCCCCUUCUCUUCUGGAGUGUUCAGGAAAGCUGGGCAGGCAGUGAGCUGGGCUAGCUUCUGAAUGGAAAGGAAACUCUUCCUGGCUCAUGGCUCGGACCAGCCAGACGAUUUCGGCAUGGACGGCUCAGGAAUACCAAGAGACCACCCACCUUGAAGACUCUGGGUGGUAUUCCUGCCACGCUUCUGGGGAAAACUGAUUUGAUGGCUGUGUGGGGACCUGUUACAGGGGUGGCUGUCGGAUCACGAAGAGCAGUGUAGUCAUUGCGCUUUUAUGGCGAUUUUACUCUCCUCCAUUGUACGCUGUCCUCCUGACACCUCCUAAUUUAUCACACCCGCCUCGUCCCUCUCAGUCCCACAAGACCAAUUUCUCCUUGUCGGCUUUCGUCCUUUCAUCUGCACACAUCGGGUUACAUCUUGUUUUAUCUUUAGACUAUGUUAUAACUUGUUAUUUAAUCAGAGCAGUUUAUUCCACACUCCGUACACCCCCCACCAACUUCGCAGAGAUGUGAAGACUGGAGCACCUCAGUGAUGGAAGUCUCCGGGUACUAACUGGUUGUGAAGCUGUCGCUGUGAUAAAUUUCUGAAUUACUGUAACCGUCACAAUGCUGAAAAGAUUAAUUAAAUCAUUUCCAGGAUUCUAUAUCUUGAUUUUUGACAGAACCCUGUCACCUGUUUACAUAAUGGAUCAUUUUCCAUCCGUUCCAUGUUCUGUUAGUGCAGAGGUGUGCUGCCUGGUAUCUAGCUAUAGUCCAUAUACUGUACAGGUAGUCAUUGAGGUUUGACACGGCAGGUGAACAGAUGUCUUUUACAAGUAGGGAGCUGCGUCAGUAUGCGUAGGUUGUAAAGGAACAAGAAAAGGUUUAUUCCAUGCUGAAAAGAAAAGAAACACAAUAUUUUGGCUGUGGAGCCUUCUUUGGGUGUCAAGAUGUCUUUUACCGUACCAAAAAGUACAGCUAAAAGAUAU